UACGGGGGGAGCAAGCGUUGUUCGGAUUUACUGGGCGUAAAGGGCGCGUAGGCGGUCAGCACAAGUCAGUUGUGAAAUCUCCGGGCUUAACUCGGAAAGGUCAACUGAUACUGUGCGACUAGAGUGCGGAAGGGGCAACUGGAAUUCUCGGUGUAGCGGUGAAAUGCGUAGAUAUCGAGAGGAACACCUGCGGCGAAGGCGGGUUGCUGGGCCGACACUGACGCUGAUGCGCGAAAGCCGGGGGAGCGAACGGG
rnacentral:rRNA from 1 species